rnacentral:misc_RNA from 1 species
GGCUUCAUGUUCUUCACUCGAAGCUCCAUGUUAUGAAGAAUAAUGGCAUAGCAAUCUAUGAUAGUGUUAUACGGUGUUUUCCUUUUACAAUUUCAAGACUAAUUAGUAAUGACAUUUUGAUAAUAUAUGCUCUGUGGUAUAUGAAAAAGAACUGAAAUUCUGACAAGUGCAUUUCUUAAAAGACAAGGCUUUGAAUAUCUGGAGCAUUAUGAGAAGA